GGUUAAGCGACUAAGCGUACACGGUGGAUGCCCUGGCAGUCAGAGGCGAUGAAGGACGUGCUAAUCUGCGAUAAGCGUCGGUAAGGUGAUAUGAACCGUUAUAACCGGCGAUUUCCGAAUGGGGAAACCCAGUGUGUUUCGACACACUAUCAUUAACUGAAUCCAUAGGUUAAUGAGGCGAACCGGGGGAACUGAAACAUCUAAGUACCCCGAGGAAAAGAAAUCAACCGAGAUUCCCCCAGUAGCGGCGAGCGAACGGGGAGGAGCCCAGAGCCUGAAUCAGUGUGUGUGUUAGUGGAAGCGUCUGGAAAGGCGCGCGAUACAGGGUGACAGCCCCGUACACAAAAAUGCACAUGCUGUGAGCUCGAUGAGUAGGGCGGGACACGUGGUAUCCUGUCUGAAUAUGGGGGGACCAUCCUCCAAGGCUAAAUACUCCUGACUGACCGAUAGUGAACCAGUACCGUGAGGGAAAGGCGAAAAGAACCCCGGCGAGGGGGAGUGAAAAGAACCUGAAACCGUGUACGUACAAGCAGUGGGAGCCUCUUUUAUGGGGUGACUGCGUACCUUUUGUAUAAUGGGUCAGCGACUUAUAUUCUGUAGCAAGGUUAACCGAAUAGGGGGAGCCGAAGGGAAACCGAGUCUUAACCGGGCGUUAAGUUGCAGGGUAUAGACCCGAAACCCGGUGAUCUAGCCAUGGGCAGGUUGAAGGUUGGGUAACACUAACUGGAGGACCGAACCGACUAAUGUUGAAAAAUUAGCGGAUGACUUGUGGCUGGGGGUGAAAGGCCAAUCAAACCGGGAGAUAGCUGGUUCUCCCCGAAAGCUAUUUAGGUAGCGCCUCGUGAAUUCAUCUCCGGGGGUAGAGCACUGUUUCGGCAAGGGGGUCAUCCCGACUUACCAACCCGAUGCAAACUGCGAAUACCGGAGAAUGUUAUCACGGGAGACACACGGCGGGUGCUAACGUCCGUCGUGAAGAGGGAAACAACCCAGACCGCCAGCUAAGGUCCCAAAGUCAUGGUUAAGUGGGAAACGAUGUGGGAAGGCCCAGACAGCCAGGAUGUUGGCUUAGAAGCAGCCAUCAUUUAAAGAAAGCGUAAUAGCUCACUGGUCGAGUCGGCCUGCGCGGAAGAUGUAACGGGGCUAAACCAUGCACCGAAGCUGCGGCAGCGACACUGUGUGUUGUUGGGUAGGGGAGCGUUCUGUAAGCCUGUGAAGGUGUACUGUGAGGUAUGCUGGAGGUAUCAGAAGUGCGAAUGCUGACAUAAGUAACGAUAAAGCGGGUGAAAAGCCCGCUCGCCGGAAGACCAAGGGUUCCUGUCCAACGUUAAUCGGGGCAGGGUGAGUCGACCCCUAAGGCGAGGCCGAAAGGCGUAGUCGAUGGGAAACAGGUUAAUAUUCCUGUACUUGGUGUUACUGCGAAGGGGGGGACGGAGAAGGCUAUGUUGGCCGGGCGACGGUUGUCCCGGUUUAAGCGUGUAGGCUGGUUUUCCAGGCAAAUCCGGAAAAUCAAGGCUGAGGCGUGAUGACGAGGCACUACGGUGCUGAAGCAACAAAUGCCCUGCUUCCAGGAAAAGCCUCUAAGCAUCAGGUAACAUCAAAUCGUACCCCAAACCGACACAGGUGGUCAGGUAGAGAAUACCAAGGCGCUUGAGAGAACUCGGGUGAAGGAACUAGGCAAAAUGGUGCCGUAACUUCGGGAGAAGGCACGCUGAUAUGUAGGUGAAGUCCCUCGCGGAUGGAGCUGAAAUCAGUCGAAGAUACCAGCUGGCUGCAACUGUUUAUUAAAAACACAGCACUGUGCAAACACGAAAGUGGACGUAUACGGUGUGACGCCUGCCCGGUGCCGGAAGGUUAAUUGAUGGGGUCAGCGCAAGCGAAGCUCUUGAUCGAAGCCCCGGUAAACGGCGGCCGUAACUAUAACGGUCCUAAGGUAGCGAAAUUCCUUGUCGGGUAAGUUCCGACCUGCACGAAUGGCGUAAUGAUGGCCAGGCUGUCUCCACCCGAGACUCAGUGAAAUUGAACUCGCUGUGAAGAUGCAGUGUACCCGCGGCAAGACGGAAAGACCCCGUGAACCUUUACUAUAGCUUGACACUGAACAUUGAGCCUUGAUGUGUAGGAUAGGUGGGAGGCUUUGAAGUGUGGACGCCAGUCUGCAUGGAGCCGACCUUGAAAUACCACCCUUUAAUGUUUGAUGUUCUAACGUGGACCCGUGAUCCGGGUUGCGGACAGUGUCUGGUGGGUAGUUUGACUGGGGCGGUCUCCUCCUAAAGAGUAACGGAGGAGCACGAAGGUUGGCUAAUCCUGGUCGGACAUCAGGAGGUUAGUGCAAUGGCAUAAGCCAGCUUGACUGCGAGCGUGACGGCGCGAGCAGGUGCGAAAAGCAGGUCAUAGUGAUCCGGUGGUUCUGAAUGGAAGGGCCAUCGCUCAACGGAUAAAAGGUACUCCGGGGAUAACAGGCUGAUACCGCCCAAGAGUUCAUAUCGACGGCGGUGUUUGGCACCUCGAUGUCGGCUCAUCACAUCCUGGGGCUGAAGUAGGUCCCAAGGGUAUGGCUGUUCGCCAUUUAAAGUGGUACGCGAGCUGGGUUUAGAACGUCGUGAGACAGUUCGGUCCCCUAUCUGCCGUGGGCGCUGGAGAACUGAGGGGGCUGCUCCUAGUACGAGAGGACCGGAGUGGACGCAUCACUGGUGUUCGGGUUGUCAUGCCAAUGGCACUGCCCGGUAGCUAAAUGCGGAAGAGAUAAGUGCUGAAAGCAUCUAAGCACGAAACUUGCCCCGAGAUGAGUUCUCCCUGACCCUUUAAGGGUCCUGAAGGAACGUUGAAGACGACGACGUUGAUAGGCCGGGUGUGUAAGCGCAGCGAUGCGUUGAGCUAACCGGUACUAAUGAACCGUGAGGCUUAACCUU
rnacentral:rRNA from 1 species